UGUGUAGGCGGAGAGACAAGUCAGAUGUGAAAUUUACGGGCUCAACUCGUGAACUGCGUCUGAAACUGUUUCCCUUGAGAGUCGGAGGGGUAAAUGGAAUUCCUGGUGUAGCGGUGAAAUGCGUAGAUAUCAGGAGGAACACCGGUGGCGAAGGCGAUUUACUGGACGACAACUGACGCUGAGACACGAAAGUGUGGGGAGCAAACA
rnacentral:rRNA from 1 species